CCAAUAGCGUAUAUUAAAGUUGUUGCAGUUAAAAAGCUCGUAGUUGAAUUUCGGGAUCAAUUUACUGGUCGUGCUAUUGUACGUACUGUUUUAUUGAUUUCUACCUUCUGACGAACCAUGAUGUCAUUAAUUUGGUGUUAUGGGGAAUCAGGACUGUUACUUUGAAAAAAUUAGAGUGUUUAAAGCAGGCUCACGCUUGAAUACAUUAGCAUGGAAUAAUGAAAUAGGACGUUUGAUUCUAUUUUGUUGGUUUCUAGGAUCGACGUAAUGAUUAAUAGGGAUAGUUGGGGGCAUUAGUAUUCAAUUGUCAGAGGUGAAAUUCUUGGAUUUAUUGAAGACUAACUACUGCGAAAGCAUUUGCCAAGGAUGUUUUCAUUAAUCAAGAACGAAAGUUAGGGGAUCGAAGACGAUCAGAUACCGUCGUAGUCUUAACCAUAAACUAUGCCGACUAGGGAUCGGAUGAUGUUAAUUUUUUAAUGACUCACUCGGCGCCUCACG
rnacentral:rRNA from 1 species